UGAGGAGAGAGAAAAUGAAAAUAGAGAAAAUGAGAAAACUUUGGGAAACAAGAACCUUUUGAUAAAAAAAAAGAAAAAAAAGAAAGACACCUUUUAUUUUUUUUAAUUUAAAAUAACGGACCCGUUUAAUAUAACGGAGUCCGUUAUAUGAAACGGAUGUGGCCAGCCACAUAUAAAAAUUUGCCUCAGUCGAAUGCACCAUAUCGUCAAUCAAUCCUACAACCCCGAGUUUGACUAACAUCUUCCGAUUCUACUUGGUGCUCCGUAUAUACCCAAUUUCUCCAUUCUAUCUCCACCAAAACCCUUGCAAAAACCCUUUUGCUUGUCAACAAAAAUGGCUGCAAGAUUUGGUUCAUUGUCAAGGUCUUUCAUGUCUUCUGCUCGAACUUCCACUCUCCGUUCACCACCAUCUCUCCUCCGUCCUCCUCCUAUCUCCUCCCCUCGCCUCCGCCCUCGCCGCCCCUCCUUCGCUCCUUCCAGAAACUUUGGAGAACUAGGAUGCACGCAGUCAUUGCUUCCUUUCAGCUGUGCUGCAACUUUGCCUGGACGCCUAUCUACUGAAUUGCGAGUAUCCGAGCUCUUCCAUGGGAAUAAUGGAGAGGAUGGGUGAUGUUGCUUGGAAGCGUCGAUCAUCGAAAGGACAGAGGUGCUGCGUCUUUAGGGAAUCAAAGGUGUUUCCAGUUUUUUUCCUUAUGUCAUGCCAGACAUUUUCCUUAUGCUGGACUAGAGCAAUUUUCCAUUUGCUACUUGUCUAUAGUUUUGAAGUACUUUUCUUGAAUGAUAAAACAGUAAACAAGCUAUGAAUAAGAGAGUUACUCUGAAUUUUUUCUUUC